rnacentral:rRNA from 1 species
UACGUAGGGUGCAAGCGUUGUCCGGAAUUAUUGGGCGUAAAGAGCUCGUAGGCGGUCUGUCGCGUCUGCUGUGAAAACUCGAGGCUCAACCUCGAGAUGUCGGCGGAAACCGUCUGGCUAGAGUCCGGAAGAGGAGAGUGGAAUUCCUGGUGUAGCGGUGAAAUGCGCAGAUAUCAGGAAGAACACCUAUGGCGAAGGCAGCUCUCUGGGACGGUACUGACGCUGAGACGCGAAAGCGUGGGGAGCGAACAGG